GCAUGCGGCAUGCUUACCAUGCAGUCGACGGAAGGCCUCUAGCUUGCUAGGGGUACUCGAGUGGCGAACGGGUGAGUAACACGUGGGUGAUCUGCCCUGCACUUUGGGAUAAGCUUGGGAAACUGGGUCUAAUACCGAAUAUGACCAUUGUUUGGAUGCGAUGGUGGAAAGCUUUUGCGGUGUGGGAUGAGCCUGCGGCCUAUCAGCUUGUUGGUGGGGUAAUGGCCUACCAAGGCGGCGACGGGUAUCCGGCCUGAGAGGGUGUACGGACACAUUGGGACUGAGAUACGGCCCAGACUCCUACGGGAGGCAGCAGUGGGGAAUAUUGCACAAUGGGCGCAAGCCUGAUGCAGCGACGCCGCGUGGGGGAUGACGGCCUUCGGGUUGUAAACUCCUUUCGCCAGGGACGAAGCGUUUUUGUGACGGUACCUGGAUAAGAAGCACCGGCUAACUACGUGCCAGCAGCCGCGGUAAUACGUAGGGUGCGAGCGUUGUCCGGAAUUACUGGGCGUAAAGAGCUCGUAGGUGGUUUGUCGCGUCGUCUGUGAAAUCCCGGGGCUUAACUUCGGGCGUGCAGGCGAUACGGGCAUAACUUGAGUGCUGUAGGGGAGACUGGAAUUCCUGGUGUAGCGGUGAAAUGCGCAGAUAUCAGGAGGAACACCGAUGGCGAAGGCAGGUCUCUGGGCAGUAACUGACGCUGAGGAGCGAAAGCAUGGGUAGCGAACAGGAUUAGAUACCCUGGUAGUCCAUGCCGUAACGGUGGGCGCUAGGUGUAGGGGGCUUCCACGUCUUCUGUGCCG
rnacentral:rRNA from 1 species